rnacentral:pre_miRNA from 17 species
AGCCGCAUGCGAAGAUCCAUUAUCGCAUGCGGCUGCUUAGGUUAGCGGCAUGCGAUAAUGCAUCUUCGCAUGCGGCU